rnacentral:rRNA from 1 species
CCUACGGGUGGCUGCAGUAAGGAAUAUUGGACAAUGGGCGCAAGCCUGAUCCAGCCAUGCCGCGUGCAGGAUGACGGCCCUAUGGGUUGUAAACUGCUUUUAUACGGGAAAAAACCCCUCUACGUGUAGAGGGCUGAUGGUACCGUAAGAAUAAGGAUCGGCUAACUCCGUUCCAGCAGCCGCGGUAAUACGGAGGAUCCGGGCGUUAUCGGGAUUUAUUGGGUUUAAAGCGUGCGUAGGCGUCUGUGGUGAAAGCCUGCAGCUUAACUGUAGAACUGCCAUUGAUACUGCAAGUCUUGAGUACAUAUGAUGUGGGCGGAAUGUGUAGUGUAGCGGUGAAAUGCUUAGAUAUUACACAGAACACCAAUUGCGAAGGCAGCUCACAAAACUGUAACUGACGCUGAGGCACGAAAGCGUGGGGAGUGAACAGGAUUAGAUACCCUUGUAGUC